rnacentral:rRNA from 1 species
UAGCAUAUCAAUAAGCGGAGGAAAAGAAACCAACAGGGAUUGCCCCAGUAACGGCGAGUGAAGCGGCAACAGCUCAAAUUUGAAAUCUGGCCCCCAGGGCCCGAGUUGUAAUUUGCAGAGGAUGCUUUUGGCGCGGCGCCUUCCGAGUUCCCUGGAACGGGACGCCAUAGAGGGUGAGAGCCCCGUCUGGUCGGACGCCAAGCCAGUGUAAAGCUCCUUCGACGAGUCGAGUAGUUUGGGAAUGCUGCUCUAAAUGGGAGGUAUAUGUCUUCUAAAGCUAAAUAUAGGCCAGAGACCGAUAGCGCACAAGUAGAGUGAUCGAAAGAUGAAAAGCACUUUGAAAAGAGGGUUAAACAGUACGUGAAAUUGUUGAAAGGGAAGCACUUGUGACCAGACUUGGGCCCGGUGAAUCAUCCAGCGUUCUCGCUGGUGCACUUCGCCGGGCCCAGGCCAGCAUCAGUUCGCCGCGGGGGAUAAAAGCUUCGGGAACGUAGCUCCCUCGGGAGUGUUAUAGCCCGUUGCAUAAUACCCUGCGGUGGACUGAGGUUCGCGCUCCGCAAGGAUGCUGGCGUAAUGGUCACCAGUGACCCGUCUUGAAACACGGACCAAGGAGUCGUCUUCGUAUGCGAGUGUUCGGGUGUCAAACCCCUACGCGUAAUGAAAGUGAACGCAGGUGAGAGCUUCGGCGCAUCAUCGACCGAUCCUGAUGUUCUCGGAUGGAUUUGAGUAAGAGCAUACGGGGCCGGACCCGAAAGAAGGUGAACUAUGCCUGUAUAGGGUGAAGCCAGAGGAAACUCUGGUGGAGGCUCGCAGCGGUUCUGACGUGCAAAUCGAUCGUCAAAUAUGGGCAUGGGGGCGAAAGACUAAUCGAACCUUCUAGUAGCUGGUUUCCGCCGAU